rnacentral:rRNA from 1 species
UACGAAGGGGGCUAGCGUUGCUCGGAAUCACUGGGCGUAAAGCGCACGUAGGCGGACUCUUAAGUCAGGGGUGAAAUCCUGGAGCUCAACUCCAGAACUGCCUUUGAUACUGGGAGUCUCGAGUUCGGGAGAGGUGAGUGGAACUGCGAGUGUAGAGGUGAAAUUCGUAGAUAUUCGCAAGAACACCAGUGGCGAAGGCGGCUCACUGGCCCGAUACUGACGCUGAUGCACGAAAGCGUGGGGAGCAAACAGG